GAUGAACGCUGGCGGCGUGCUUAACACAUGCAAGUCGAACGAAGCUGCUAAAAGGAAGUCUUCGGACGGAAUUUUGGUAGACUUAGUGGCGGACGGGUAAGUAACGCGUGGAUAACCUGCCUUAUACAGGGGGAUAACGGAGAGAAAUUUCCGCUAAGACCGCAUAAGACCACAGCACCGCAUGGUGCAGGGGUAAAAUAUUUAUAGGUAUAAGAUGGAUCCGCGUCCGAUUAGCUAGUUGGUGAGGUAGAGGCUCACCAAGGCGACGAUCGGUAGCCGGCCUGAGAGGGUGAACGGCCACAUUGGGACUGAGACACGGCCCAAACUCCUACGGGAGGCAGCAGUGGGGAAUAUUGGACAAUGGGGGAAACCCUGAUCCAGCGACGCCGCGUGAGUGAAGAAGUAUUUCGGUAUGUAAAGCUCUAUCAGCAGGGAAGAAAAUGACGGUACCUGACUAAGAAGCCCCGGCUAACUACGUGCCAGCAGCCGCGGUAAUACGUAGGGGGCAAGCGUUAUCCGGAUUUACUGGGUGUAAAGGGAGCGCAGACGGCGAAGCAAGUCUGAAGUGAAAUGCAUGGGCUCAACCCAUGAAUUGCUUUGGAAACUGUUUGGCUUGAGUGUCGGAGGGGUAAGCGGAAUUCCUAGUGUAGCGGUGAAAUGCGUAGAUAUUAGGAGGAACACCGGAGGCGAAGGCGGCUUACUGGACGACAGCUGACGUUGAGGCUCGAAGGCGUGGGGAGCAAACAGG
rnacentral:rRNA from 1 species